CAGCCGCCGCGGGAAUACGUAGGUGGCAAGCGUUGUCCGGAAUUAUUGGGCGUAAAGGGCUCGCAGGCGGUUUCUUAAGUCUGAUGUGAAAGCCCCCGGCUCAACCGGGGAGGGUCAUUGGAAACUGGGAAACUUGAGUGCAGAAGAGGAGAGUGGAAUUCCACGUGUAGCGGUGAAAUGCGUAGAGAUGUGGAGGAACACCAGUGGCGAAGGCGACUCUCUGGUCUGUAACUGACGCUGAGGAGCGAGAGCGUGGGGAGCGAAUGGGAUUAGAUACCCGCGUAGUCCCUGUCUCUUAUAC
rnacentral:rRNA from 1 species